rnacentral:piRNA from 1 species
UAUCUUCGCCAGUAUCUGCUGUCACCU